rnacentral:snRNA from 1 species
AUACCUUUCUCGGCCUUUUGGCUAAGAUCAAGUGUAGUAUCUGUUUUUAUCAGUUUUUCUCGGCCACAUCUGGCACUAUUUAUUGGGGGGUUUUGGCGGUGGUGCAUAUAGACACGUGCCCUCA